AGAGCUAUAGUCAAUUUAUGAUUUAUGGGUUGCAUUCAUAAGGUGUUUCUUAAAAACUAGCUUUG
rnacentral:tRNA from 1 species